AAACAAAUCUCCUCUUCUUGGUUCUCAAAAAUACCUGCAAAAUCAGUCCAAACCAUUCUCUCUCUCUUAACACUCCUCCCUCUCUCGCUGCAAGGGAAAUGCAAUCUAUUCAAACAAGAUUGUUGAUGUUGUUGAGAGGGAAGAAGGGGAGUUAGAGGAAGAUGAAAUUGAUUUGGAUAUGGAACCAUGUGAGAAUGUUAAUAAUGGGGGAUGUCUUAAAUAUGAACAUUGAAGGUUUAGAGGUUGAGCCUAAAGAAAAUGGUUUGGAAAAGAAAAUGAAUUAUAUUUGUGAUGAGCAUAACUGUGAUUGAAGCUAACAAAUCAUUUGAUGCAGUUUGAACAUUGGAGGGCUUGCAGGAAGUUGUUCUGGGAAAUAGCAUUUCCAAUAAAUAUGAUCUUAUUCAAUUGUCAUGCACUGCUGUUCGAGUGAUUAAUUCUACUUCUUUCUCUUCUAAAUAGAUGAUUUCAACCUGAGCAUUCUAAAGAGCUGGAUGUAAUCUUGAGGAUGAGGAGGACAUUAUUGAACCAGAGCCAUAAGUUUCCUGGCAGAUAACUUUUAGAGAGAAAAGGCAGCAGAUUUGAACUGUGGGAUGUAUGCUUUGUAUCCGUCAUCCAUAGGACACUGUUUUAUUUGUUAUUCAAAAGAGACCCUACUGAUCAAAUUAUACAUGGAAGUUGAGCUUAUUCGCUUGAAUUGGUUACAGCGGCAUUUGGCAGAAAUUGGCGAUGCUCCUCAUGUUGGAGAUGAGCCUACAAUUUCUCUAUCCUCAAGGUUUUUUCUCUCUUUUUAGCCUGCGAACUUACACGAACUGACACAUUGCUUGCAGUUGUUAAUAUCCCAAUGAAUGCUCGGGACUCCAAGCUCAAUUGCAUAUUCUAGCACUUAGCCAUGUCGAACAAUUCUGAAACACUCUUCUUUGCCACAAGAGCAAAGGAAGUCAUCAACAAUGCCCAAGUUAACAUGGUUGUUUCCGACAAGCAGCUGAUUUAUAUAAAAGGAAGUCGCCAGCUAGAAGUAGAACCACAGACUCUUGAUCCUUCAAAGGAAAAAACUUGAAAAUUUCAGCAGGUGAGUUUCAGCAGCUUAAUUGAAUACACAGUCAUCUAAUGAAUGUACCAUAUAUACAUUUUUUUAUUUGAGAACGAGUCUAUCGAUUGCUUAAUCUGGAUAUCUUACUGCUUAUCAAAACUGUAAAUUAUUAUGAUAAUCGGACAAGAAAAAGACUUUUUCAAAAAAAAAAAUUGUGUGAAAAAUGAAUAGAUCGCAACUAAUCUAAUAAUGAUCGGGAUAUUAAAAUAUAUCAUUGAUUUUGUAGUUUCCUUUUAUAAAUUCUUUAAGGCAUGUGAUGCAAUUUGUAAGCAAACUUUAGUGUUUCUUAUUGAGCCAUUAAGUUUGAGCUACUCUUAGUACUAAACCUGGUUUGACUUGCCGUUGUGAUCUUGUUUGAGGCAUCUCAUAAGUAUUUCUAAAGGGUAACCGAGUGAACACUUUUUCUCUGUGUUGGUAACUCUAUAUGCCAGCGCAAGUACUAAAUUAACAGGUUGUGUUGCCUCCAAAGACAAGUUUACUUUCUGCUAUCUCAUUUUCAGCAGUUUUAGUAUUAUUUUAUUAUAUAUUCAAUAUUAUUCUUAAUUUACUUUUAAUUUAUGUUUAUUCUAUAAUUUAUUUGUUUAUUUGCACUUUUAUUUGUUAAUUUCCUUUACUAAUCUAAAUUUUUUUAUAGCGACAAGUUCUAAUUACCCGAUUCAGAGAUCUUAAGUGGUCCUUUUUGGACUUUUAGGAAUACUUUAGUUUAGUUAAUUAAUUAGUUAAUUCCUUAUUUGAUUUUUUGAGGCUUUUAAGCCAUGGUUGUAAUUAAUUUUUCCUUAAUUGCCCCGAUAUCCUUAAUCCCAUUCUAAAUUUUUCUU